GUCCAGAGUCUGUUCCUUCUGAUGUUCGGAUGUGUUCGGAGUUUCUUCCUUCUGGUGGGUUCGUGGUCUCGCUGGCUCGGGAGUGAAGCUGCAGACGUUUGCGAGAAAUCUAAAUACAUGACCACAGUUUGAGCUCCUGUCUGAAGAGAUUUUUUAAAGGCUGUUUUCUCAUUAAAGCUGGGAUUUUCAUCAUGCUGAGUUCAGAGGAACUCGUGAGUUAUGACAAAAAGAUAUUAUGACUCCCAUGCAGCGGAUGAAGACAUUGAUGCCCAUGAAAGGUAAUUCAGUUCCAACCCCUUCAGUGACAGCAGAGAGACCCAGGCCACCUUCCUUGAGGAUUUCGGAGCUGCAGCCCACAGCCAGGGCCAGAGUGGACUCAGCUCUCCAACCCACGCCCAUGAAUCUCUGCGACUAAAGAUUUCCCCAGACGCUCCCAGGUUCCUCCUGAUCUGCAGCAUUGUCGUCCCUGCCACUGACCAGGAAGCCCUCUGUGCUCCCAUAGCCCCUUCAGAAACCUGUGACUUCCUGAGUCCUAAGUCUUCAGCAGAAACAGCAGCUGCCCCACGCCUUGAGCGGCAGCAGGACCCUUUCUGCCCUGAUCUCCACUCAGCGCUGGAAGCCUGGCUCACAUUCUCUCUACUCACAUCAGCCUGAUGUCUUCAAGCCAGGAUUUCUUGGGGUUUAUCUCACCAGAUGCAAUCAACUCAAGUUCCCUCUGUGGCGCCUUCUCAUUCCCUUAUGCCAAGUCACACUAAAAUACUUGAGAACAGUAUCCAUAAAACGUUCUGAUAUGAUUUUCUUGUUCUAAUUUACAUACUGUGAAUCUGUAAACACAAGACGGAGAUUUGCAUGUGUUGACAUUGUUUGUGACUAAAGGGAUCGUGGCCUCAGAACACACACAUUACGUGGGUGACACGGACAUUACUCAUUUUUGUACAUUUGGAUGCUAAUUGAAUUGGGUGCUUGCCUCCAAUAAGAAUGGAACUUGUUGGCCUCA
ensembl:lncRNA LINC03021 long intergenic non-protein coding RNA 3021